CCGCCCUUAUCCCCCCUCACCUUCGCCCUCUCCCACCCCAUCGCCCGUCGCCCUCGCCGUCCCCUCUCGUUCCUUCCUCUCACUGUGCACCUCUCUGCGCCCGUCACCCGCCUUCACUGCGCGCUUCCGUUACCCUGCACCAACUACGCCCCUUAGUCCCUUCCCGCACCCUCUCGGUUUCCCAGCCCGCACCCUUCCGCUCCCCAGCACCUUCUCCGCCCUGUCUGCGCACUCCCUGCCCGCCACACCGCCGCUCCUCACCGCGCUCUCUCCGCUCCCCAUCCCCCACCCCCGUUCCUGGCCUCCUUUGGAUCGGGAUACCACCGAGAAGUACCCAGGUUGACUGGGAGGAGGGGAGUUGGGACCCAGCCUGGCUUGCUUAGUGUUGUGUGAACCUGGGCAAGGCCCUGCCCCUCUCUGGUCUCAGGGUCCUCGUCUCCCAAUAUGCAAAAUGUGAAUUUUCACAAAGUGAACAUAUCCAUGCAGCCAGCACGCAGACCAAGAAAAAGAACAAUUUCCAGAACCCUCCACAGCCUGUCCACUUCCAGUCACUUACCACCAAAAAGGUAACUAUCUUGACUUCAAAUUGCAUAGUUUUACUUGUUUUUGAACUGUAUAUAAACAGAAUAAUAUAGCAUGCACUCUUUUAUACCUUGCUGCUUUUGCUCAAAAUUGUAUUUGAUACAUCUAUGUUGCUAUGUGUAGUUGUAGUUAAUCCAUUCUCACACCUUUAAUAUUCUAUUAUAUAAAUAGACCACAUUUUACUGUUGAUGAACAUUUGGGUUAUCUCCAAUUUUGUUUAUUACACUUCUUUUUUCUUUUUUUUGGAGACAGAGUCUCGCUCUGUCGCCUAGGUUGGAGUGCAGUGGCGCCAUCUUGGCUCACUGCAACCUCCCACCUCCCAGGUUCAAGCGAUUCUCCUGCCUCAGCGUCUCAAGUAGCUGGGAUUACAGGUGCCGGCCACCACGCCCAGAUAAUUUGUGUAUUUUAGUAGAGAUGGGAUUUCAUCAUGUUGGCCAGGCUGGUCUUGAACUCCUGAGCUCGGGUGAUCCACCCACCUCAGCCUCCCAAAGUGCUGGGAUUACAGGCAUGAGCCACCAUGCCCGGCCUUAUUACAUAUAUCAUAAAAUGCUGCUAUGGACGCUGUUGAACAUGUCUCUUAUGAACAUAGGUACUGUUGGGUAAAUACUGUUGGGUAAAUACCUAGGUGUGGAAUCACAGGGUCAUAAGGUAUGCAUAUGUUCAGCUUUAGUAGAUAGGGCCAGACCUUUUUUUUUCUUUUUUUUUUUUUUUUUUUGGAGAUAGGAUCUCCCUCUGUAGCCCAGGCUGGAGUGCAGGCCAAACAUGGCUCACUGCAGCCUCCACCUCCUGGACUCAGGCAGUCCUCCUGCCUCAGCCUCCCAAGUAGCUGGGACCACGAGGUGUGUCACCACGCCCUGCUAAUUUUAUUUUUAUUUGUUAGUAGAGACAUGGUCUCACUGUGUUGCCUAGGCUGGAGCUAGACAUUUUGUUUUCUUUCUUUCUUUCUUUCUUUUUUUUGCUCUUGUGGAGCCAGGCAUUUUGAAAGGGUGUACCAGUAAUAUCUGGAGAGUUCCAGUUGUUCUACAUUCUCAACACUUGACAUUGUCCCAUUGUCCUUGUAGUAUUAGGCAUUUUUAGGCAUUUUUUUUUUCGAGAUGGAGUCUUGCUCUGUUGCCCAGGCUGGAGUGCAGUGGCAUGAUCUCAGCUAACUGCAACCUCCGCCUCCUGGGUUCAAGCAAUUCUCCUGCCUCAACCUCCUGAGUAGCUGGAAUUACAAGCGCGCACCACCACACCUGGCUAUUUUUGUGUGUGUGUGUUUUUAGUAGAGACGGGGUUUCACCAUGUUGGCCAGGCUGGUCUCAAACUCCUGAUCUCGUGAUCCACCCACCUCGGCCUCCCAAAGUGCUGGGAUUACAGGCAUGAGCCACUGCGCCUAGCCAGUAUUAGGCACUUUUGUGGAUGUAUUGUGGUAUCUCAUUGUGGUUUUAAGUUUAAUUUCUCCACUAAUGAAGAUAACACUUUUUCAUAUAUGUAUUGGUUUUCAUUUUUUAUUUACAUAGCCACACAUGAAUAUAUCCUUGUUACAUAUAAUACAUGAAUAGAAAUAAUACAUAUAAAGCUAAAGUCCCUCUAAAACGAAUCCCUUCACUAGUUUUAUUUUUAAUUGAAAAAAAAUUUUUUUGUAGCAAUGGGGUCUUGCUUUGUUGCCCAGGCUGGUCUUGAACUCCUGGUCUCAAGCAAUCCUGCCACCUUGGCCUCCUAAAGCACUGGGAUUACAGGUGUGAGCCACCAUGCCCAGCUCCUUCCCGAGUUUUGAGCACUGGGCUUGGAGUUAAGAGACCUGAAUUCCAGCCUUGGUCUGCCACUGACUAGAUUGCUGUCUGAUUUUGGACAGGUCACCUCUCUGGGUCUGUCUCCCCAUCUAUAAAAUCAGAGUGUUUAACUAGAUAGUCUCUAAGGAUCUUUUUUCUUUAAUAUUCUGAUCACUGUUUCUGUGAUCCUAAGAACCUCCAUUAGGUAAAAAUGGCCAUUUGCCUUACUAUCCAUUCUCUCCAUCUUCCUUAGUAACUGAACUCCCGAGUUUUAGUUGAGCAUAUGGCUGGCCCACUAGACUAUUUCCAGCCUCCCUUACAACUGGGCAUGACCAUGUGACUAAUUUGAGACAAGGGUGUGUAGACAGAAAUGAUGUGUGCAACUUUUGGGUCAUGACUUUAUAAAGAAGGGUCAUGCCCUCCACUUGCUCUUCUCUUCCUGCUGGCUGGAAAGAGGACCUGAUGAUGGGAACUGGCCCAGCCAUUUGUUUUGUUUUUCAGAUAGGGUCUCACACUGUUUCCUGUGCUACAGUGCAGGGGUGCAAUCACGACUCACUGCAUCCUUGACCUCUUGGGCUCGCUCCUCCCUCAGCCUCCUGAGUAACUGGGACCACAGGCAUGCGCCACCACACCCAGAUAAUUCUGUAUUUUUUGUAGAGACGUGGUUUCCUCAUGUUGCCUAAGCUAGUCUCAAACUCUUGGACUCGAGUGAUCCACCCAUCUCAGCCUCCCAAAGUGUUGGGAUUACAGAUGUGAGCCACUGUGCCCAGCACCAGCCAUCUUUGUUCAUGAGAUGGAGGCCAAGAUAUGUUGACGAUGACAGAACAAGGCAAGAGCUGAGACCCCUCACAACAUAUCGCUGACAUAUCAGCCCUGGAUUGCUUAGAAGUAAAUUUUCAUCUCAAGCUAUCAUUAUUUCAGCUUUUGUUAUAUCCACUGAACCUGAAUCCUGAUUAAUACAGAGUGACUGAAGAAUGACUUUUUUUUUUUGAGACAAAGUCUGACUCUGUUGCCCAGGAUGGGGUGUAGCGGCACGAUCUUGGCUCACUGCAACCUCUGCAUCCCGCGUUCAAGUGAUUCUCCUGCCUCAGCCUCCCAAGUAGGUGGGACUACAGGCGCCUGCCACCAUGCCCGGCUAAUUUUUUGUGGUUUUAGUAGAGAUGGGGUUUUGCCAUGUUGGCCAGGCUGGUCUUGAACUCCUGACCUCAAGUGAUCCGCCUGCCCUGGCCUCCCAAAGUGCUGGGAUUACAGGUGUGAGCCACCACGUCCAGCUUCAAGAAUGACUUUAGAUUGGGUGUUGGGUCAGGUUUCUCGGAGGAAGGGACGCUUUGAGCUAGAUCUUAACAAGAGAGACAGCCAUAUAGAUUUAGGGGAAAAGCAUUCCAAGCCAAGGAGGCCACAGGUGCAAAAGCUCAGUCCAAGACAGGAUUCUGUGUAAUGAGGCCUACCUGGUCAAUCGUGGCGCCCCCAUCUCCCAUCCCAUUGUUUACAGUGACUGAGCCAAGAGUGGACCAUGUGGCCUGAACAGGCCCAAUCAGAGACCUCCAGAGAUUUGCUGUGUGAGUGAUGGGACAGAAAGGCUCUUUCUCUGGGAUUACAAAUCUUAAUGACUAUUUAAGCCUAGAAUUAUUGAGGAUCAUGUUGCUGGCAAGUGGCAAAAACCCACCUGAGUAUAAAGCUGGGGCAAACACAGACGAGUUAGAAAGGGACAGAGUCCUCCAUGGGGUUUGACCCUGGGUCCAACCACACUUGUCCUUAUUUCAAUCCAGUUAUGAAAACCCAUUAUGUCCUUCUUCGCUAUUGAACUGGAUUUCCAUCACUUGCAACCAAGUAGGUGCCUGGUCUCCCCCUAUAACUGGGGCUAAUUGUAGAUGGUCCCCGAACUAUGAUCAUUCAACUCACAAUUUUUGACUUUACAACAGUAUGAAACAAGACAUUCAGUAGAAACUGUACUUCAGAUAUUGAAUUUUGAUUCAAAAUUCUUUAUAACUUUAUUACAAUAUAGAUUUUGUGUUGGAUAGUUUUGCCCACUGUAGGCUAAUGUAAGUGUUCUGAGCAUGUUUAAGGCAGGCUAGGCUAAGCUAUGUUUGGUAGGUUAGGUAUAUUAAAUACAUUUUUGACUUAUGAUCAUAUUUUCCACUUAUGAUGGGUUUAUCAGGAUGCAAACCCAUCACAUAAAUGGAGGGAUAUCUGUAAAACAUUGUUAGACCUAUAAUUUUACUGCUGAUUAUUGGGAGGUGGUAUGGCACAGUGGUUAGGGGCAGAGGCCUUAGAGUUGGACUACAUGGGUUCAAAUCCCAGCUUGGCUGUUUUCUGUGUGGUUCUAACCCAGUUCUGCCAAAACUUGUUGAGUGGCCUUAGGUGAGUCACAUAAACUCUCUAGAUACAGCUUCCUCAUUGCAAAAUGUCUCAAGCUAAGUUUAGUAUUCUCCCUCCACCCUGACCCUGCUUCUGUUCCUCUUUCAGGCUGUCCCAUCUCAGUAAAUGGCCCAUCAGCCACCCAGAAGGUCAAGCCAGAUUCAUCCUUCACAUCUAAUCUACCUUCUAAACACAUCCACAAUCCAUUCCCCUUUCUCCAUCCCCACUGUCCCCGCUCCAGUCCAUGCCAUCAA